CUUGCCCUUCUGCUGUCUGCCAUGGGAUGACACAGUAUGAAGGUCAUCACCACAUGUGGGCUGAUUGAUCUUGGAUUUCCAAGCCUCCAGAACUGUUUCUGGCUUUGAUGAAAGAUGUUAUCACUCCUAUCUACUGUCUUUGGAAUUCCCAGGUAUUGAGC
rnacentral:lncRNA from 1 species